rfam:Salmo salar isolate Sally breed double haploid chromosome ssa03, whole genome shotgun sequence.
AACCUCGUGGCGCAACGGUAGCGCAUCUGACUCAAGAUCAGAAGGUUCCGUGUUCAAAUCACGUCGUGGUUA